rnacentral:rRNA from 1 species
AUGGCCGGCUACGACGGCAACGGCAACAGCAACGCCGUCCGCGGCGGCGGCGGCGGGAGCAACCAGGAGGAGGUCCAGAUAGAAAUCGCAGGAUCCUCCAAACCCGCGGUUUCCUUGGCCCAUGAAGCACCCCAACAAAGCGCUCCGGUUAAGCACUGGCAAUGGUGGUUGAUGGUGGUACUGAACAUGUUCUUCCUUGUGGCUGGUCAGACGUCGGCAACACUCUUAGGGAGAUUCUACUACAAUGAAGGUGGCAAUAGCAAAUGGUUGUCCACGUUUGUCCAGACUGCUGGUUUUCCGGUGUUGUUUAUUGCCCAAUUUCUUUUCCGUCCAAAGUCACCUUCCACACAAGCAACUACCAGUGGCCCUGAAGCAUCUAUCACCAAAAUCACUCUGAUAUACAUUGCCUUGGGACUCAUCAUUGCUGCAGACGACUUGAUGUAUUCCUACGGUCUAUUGUAUCUUCCUGUCUCAACUUACUCCCUCAUUUGUGCUAGUCAGCUGGCCUUCAACGCCGUCUUGUCAUAUUUUCUCAAUGCCCAAAAGUUCACCCCUUUGAUAUUCAACUCGGUACUACUCCUUACAUUUUCUGCUUCGCUCCUUGGAGUUGAUGAGGAUUCUCCGAGCAGUAGUGAUAUCUCUCAAGGGAAUCAUGUAUUGGGUUUUGUGUUGACACUGGGAGCAUCGGCCACAUACUCACUUAUUCUGUCUCUCAUGCAAGUUACGUUUGAAAAGGUUAUUAAGAGGGAGACCUUCUCAGUCGUGCUGAACAUGCAGAUUUAUACGGCAUUUGUGGCUACAUUGGCUUCUCUUGUUGGGUUGUUUGCAAGUGGUGAAUGGAAGACUUUGGAGGGAGAGAUGCACAUGUUCAGCCCAGGGAAGGUGUCCUAUGUAAUGACAGUGCUAUGGACAGCUAUAUCAUGGCAGAUAGCUUCUGUUGGAGUUGUGGGGUUGAUCUUUGUGGUUUCAUCACUCUUUUCAAAUGUGAUAAGCACUCUAGCUCUACCCAUCAUUCCUGUUUUCGCAGUGAUUUUCUUUCACGACAAAAUGGAUGGAAUAAAGAUUAUAGCUAUGCUGAUAGCCAUCUGGGGUUUUAUUUCAUACGGCUACCAGUUGUAUGUUGAUGACAAGAAGUCUAGGAAGACUUCGUCCAGUGUGGAGGAGAAUUCCUAA